UGCGUAGGCGGCCGAGCAAGUCAGUUGUGAAAACUAUGGGCUUAACCCAUAACGUGCAAUUGAAACUGUCCGGCUUGAGUGAAGUAGAGGUAGGCGGAAUUCCCGGUGUAGCGGUGAAAUGCGUAGAGAUCGGGAGGAACACCAGUGGCGAAGGCGGCCUACUGGGCUUUAACUGACGCUGAGGCACGAAAGCAUGGGUAAGCAAACA
rnacentral:rRNA from 1 species